rnacentral:rRNA from 1 species
UAGGGAAUCUUCGGCAAUGGACGAAAGUCUGACCGAGCAACGCCGCGUGAGUGAAGAAGGUUUUCGGAUCGUAAAACUCUGUUGUUAGAGAAGAACAAGGACGUUAGUAACUGAACGUCCCCUGACGGUAUCUAACCAGAAAGCCACGGCUAACUACGUGCCAGCAGCCGCGGUAAUACGUAGGUUGCAAGCGUUGUCCGGAUUUAUUGUGCGUAAAGCGAGCGCAGGCGGUUUCUUAAGUAUGAUGUGAAAGCCCCCUGCUCAACCGGGGAGGGUCAUGGGAAACUGGUAAACGUGAGUGCAGAAGAGAAGAGUGAAAUUCCAUGUGUAGCGGUGAAAUGCGUAGAUAUAUGGAGAAACACCAGUGACAAAGGCGGCUCUCUGGUCUGGAACUGACGAUGAGGCUCGAAAGAGUGGGGAGCAAACAGG